AACAAGAAACUUGUUUAAGAGAGAAACGUGCAGGUUCCAAUUCCACCUGUUAGCUAUGUUAGCUAAGGCUAACUCCUUAGCUUAGUUAACACUCUCCUGUCCAAGUAUCAUCAUCAGCCUUUCAUUUACUGUUUUAACAAUUUACAUGUGUGUGCUGUUCACAACAGUUAAAUGGCUAGAGUCCUGUUUAAAUUAGCAAGUUUAUACAUCCAUGACAAAUAUGCUGACUGUGCUUGAAUUCUUCCAAACAGCUGAUUGGCUGGGAUUCCACUAUAAUGCCAUUGGGCGCCAGUCUCGAAACCGGUGAAAUCGUUAAAACCAUAGGUUAAAACGCGGGCGAUUCAAAAGAUAAAAAGCAGCGCGGUGUAUGUAUGGAAUCAAAUAAAGGUCAUUAAUAUUUUGAGAUUGUGAAAUAGUUUGUGAAAAGAUGAAGUUCUGCAGCUGUCGAAAUAUUUUGUGCAUGUGUCCAAUUGGUCAAAUGUAGAGACAAUCUGUCCAAUCAGAGGGCAGAUAGUUGCGUUGCGUUCAUCACCCUGCAGGUCCUGAAAAAUGGACGACAGUACGGGCUCUCCCGCAACUCAGAUACAGAAAGAGGCCAAAGACUACAGCUCCGUUCCACAAGUUCAGAGGGCCAUGGUAAUAAAAUGAGUGUUAUCAGGACCUAGGAUUCCACAACUUUGAUCCAGAAGGCCAGAUGAUCCACAUCAGUUUAGUUUGCUGUCUGCUGUACCAGCCUUGACCACUCAGGAGCCACUGUAGACACACAGACUGCACUGCUGUACAAGAGAGGCCGCAGAGACAGAGGAUGACCCUGCAUCAGAUGAAGACCACCUGUGAAAUAUCCACAGUCACCCACCACAUCAGACUACAUAUUUGCCAUAUUAAAUUGCCAUCUAUAUAGCUGUUCAUUUUUAUUUGUGACUUGUAAUCCAAACUUCUGUGUAUAUUUAUUCUUGAGCCAAAUAAAUUUUUACAACUGUAAAAA